rnacentral:rRNA from 1 species
GGGAUUGCCUCAGUAACGGCGAGUGAAGCGGCAACAGCUCAAAUUUGAAAUCUGGCCCUAGGCCCGAGUUGUAAUUUGCAGAGGAUGCUUUUGGCGAGGUGCCUUCCGAGUUCCCUGGAACGGGACGCCAUAGAGGGUGAGAGCCCCGUCUGGUCGGACACCGAGCCUCUGUAAAGCUCCUUCGACGAGUCGAGUAGUUUGGGAAUGCUGCUCUAAAUGGGAGGUAUAUGUCUUCUAAAGCUAAAUACCGGCCAGAGACCGAUAGCGCACAAGUAGAGUGAUCGAAAGAUGAAAAGCACUUUGAAAAGAGAGUUAAAUAGCACGUGAAAUUGUUGAAAGGGAAGCGUUUAUGACCAGACUUGGCCCGGUUGAUCAUCCAGCGUUCUCGCUGGUGCACUCUGCCGGUCCAGGCCAGCAUCAGUUCGUCGCGGGGGAUAAAGGUUUCGGGAAUGUGGCUCCUUCGGGAGUGUUAUAGCCCGUUGCGUAAUACCCUGCGGUGGACUGAGGUCCGCGCUUCUGCAAGGAUGCUGGCGUAAUGGUCAUCAACGACCCGUCUUGAAACACGGACCAAGGAGUCGUCUUCGUAUGCGAGUGUUCGGGUGUAAAACCCCUACGCGUAAUGAAAGUGAACGCAGGUGAGAGCUUCGGCGCAUCAUCGACCGAUCCUGAUGUUCUCGGAUGGAUUUGAGUAAGAGCAUACGGGGCCGGACCCGAAAGAAGGUGAACUAUGCCUGUAUAGGGUGAAGCCAGAGGAAACUCUGGUGGAGGCUCGCAGCGGUUCUGACGUGCAAAUCGAUCGUCAAAUAUGGGCAUGGGGGCGAAAGACUAAUCGAACCUUCUAGUAGCU